rnacentral:rRNA from 1 species
CCUACGGGCGGCUGCAGUGAGGAAUAUUGGUCAAUGGCCGAAAGGCUGAACCAGCCAAGUCGCGUGAAGGAAGAAUGUCCUAUGGAUUGUAAACCUCUUUUGUCAGGGGGCAAAAUCACCCCCGUGUGGGUGUUGGAGAGUACCUGAAGAAAAAGCAUCGGCUAACUCCGUGCCAGCAGCCGCGGUAAUACGGAGGAUGCGAGCGUUAUCCGGAUUUAUUGGGUUUAAAGGGUGCGUAGGCGGGUUAUCAAGUCAGCGGUAAAAUCGUGGGGCUCAACUCCAUCGAGCCGUUGAAACUGAUGAUCUUGAGAGGGCGAGAAGUAUGCGGAAUGCGCGGUGUAGCGGUGAAAUGCAUAGAGAUUACGCAGAACUCCGAUUGCGAAGGCAGCAUACCGGCGGCCGACUGACGCUGAAGCACGAAAGCGUGGGUAUCGAACAGGAUUAGAUACCCGGGUAGUC